UACGAAGGGGGCUAGCGUUGUUCGGAAUUACUGGGCGUAAAGCGCACGUAGGCGGUUUCUUAAGUCGGUGGUGAAAUCCUGGAGCUCAACUCCAGAACUGCCUUCGAUACUGGGAAACUUGAGUCCGGGAGAGGUGAGUGGAACUGCGAGUGUAGAGGUGAAAUUCGUAGAUAUUCGCAAGAACACCAGUGGCGAAGGCGGCUCACUGGCCCGGUACUGACGCUGAGGUGCGAAAGCGUGGGGAGCAAACAGG
rnacentral:rRNA from 1 species